UAUUUUAAAUUGUCAUAAACAUUUUCAAUGUUUCUUAUACAUUGUUUCUUUUUAGGUAAAAUAGUUGUAUUAAUUGGCAGUAAAAAUUUUGCUGAUACAAUUAAAAAUAUUUUGCUCUUACUGUCAACAGACACUAUUUUGUCAGAAUACAGCAUUAAUUGUCUAUGUAACGCUGUCACUGAAGCUGCUUUAGAGUCAAAUAAAAACUUAACCAAAAUGGA